AGGGUGUUGUUAUGUUAACACAAGUUGGCGGCUAACUUCAACUUUUACUUCACCAUUCCGCUUCUGUUUCGAUAGGAACAACUGUUGGUUUUGACGGCGUGCAUCAUCUAUAUGUGCUACAUGAGAUGCUUUGGAUUUUUGCUUGGGAUGCUUUGCCGGUGUGUGAACUGUUUCGUGAGCUGCUAGCAGCGGUUUAGGUUUAGUAUGGCAGGGGUAUUUUUCUUACAGCAUUUUGGCAAUUACACUAUUCGUUUCACAUUGCCAAUCUAUUGUAGAUUGGUUAGUUAAGCGCCAUUACGGCUACUGAAUUAGUAUCGCAAGUACCGCUGCCUUUGGGCUACCUCAUUGUGUUGUAUAGCUUUUGAUUUGGGUUUUCCAGGAACCGCAUAGGUUACCUUGUGGGUUUCA